CGGCGGACGGGUGAGUAACGCGUGGGUAACCUGCCUCAUACAGGGGGAUAACAGUUAGAAAUGACUGCUAAUACCGCAUAAGACCACAGCACCGCAUGGUGCGGGGGUAAAAACUCCGGUGGUAUGAGAUGGACCCGCGUCUGAUUAGCUAGUUGGUAAGGUAACGGCUUACCAAGGCGACGAUCAGUAGCCGACCUGAGAGGGUGACCGGCCACAUUGGGACUGGGACACGGCCCAA
rnacentral:rRNA from 1 species